ACCCUCAGUGUCCCUGGCACCGCCUGACUUCUGUUGCUCUGGGGCUCCGUCCUUCCCCUUUCCUGACCUCUACCUCUGAAUGAGAGGCGCGUAGAGCUGGAAGGAGGUCCCCUGACCCCUUUUUCUUUCUCCAGUCGGUCGGGUGUUUCCGUGGGCGCACACAGGCGCUAGCCCUGGUUGCGAGCGAAGGGUCACCGGGCCUCAGGGGCCAACUCGCCCCCGAGACCGCAUCCCGGGAGCGGACCGCCUGGUUUCUCUGUCACGGCGGUCUGGCCUGCCCUUUGUCCCGGCCGCGCUCUGUGUUCCAUCCUCCGUCCGCCUGAGCUCUGCCUCUUCCUCGACGUUCUCUCCCCCUCUCUUCGUGGCCCCUGAGCAGUCCGACUUCGGGAACCCGAGUUUCAGCCCUCCCCGACAGCAGCCCUUCUCCUGCGUGAACCCGUGUUCCCAAAGUUACCAAGUUUGGGCGUUUUGCGAAUGUACACACGUAAAAGAACGAAAUGUCAUGAUGCCCUGUUUUCACUCGUUUUUCUCUUCAUUCACCCAAAAGGCAAAACUACGUGGGCAAAUGUUUCUGAAAAACAGCUUUAUUGAGAUUGGAGACCAGAGUUGGAGCCUGAGGAUGAAAGCCUCAUGCUAAGAAGAGUGGAGCGGAAAGAUAAAGCAUGGCAACAUCGAUGACAUCCUAGGCCUCAUACACCGGCCCUGACCUGCUUACCCUCUCUCGUUCGUAGGCUAUGUGUCCAGUCACUUUUACAUGCAGCUGAGUACAACCCUACAUGAUCUAUCAA